UCCAAAAUAGAGAUCUCAGGCGCCCAAUAUUCUACAGACCUUACUUCCUCCAGAGGUUGCCGGGCGGUUGUGCAGAUCUACCAAGAACCAGAUGCAGAAACAAGUUUUCCUCCUACUGCAGUUCUGCCAUUUCUCCAAGACCGCUUUAAGGACUGCAGGUCUUGCAUACUCCAGGAAAGGAGUAUCUGUACAGCCUUCUACUUCUAGAGACUAGAGAGUCAUGACAUCAAGAAGACUCCCAGCUCUCACGUAGCCAGCAGAGGCUUUAGAAACUGAUGAUCCUAGAUGGACAAGCAAAAAAUGAUUAGAAUGCGAUAAACUAGAAGGACCCAAAGAAACAGGGAAUUGUUGGGGGAAAAUGAGACUAUUUCUUAGAAGAAAACGCAGUGGAGAAGUGAAAGUGGCAUGCAUCUAAGCAACAAAAGAAAAGGAGCACCGUUCAGAUCAGAGUGCAAACAGAGGAACUCAAGCAUCAGUUUGGAUGGAUGGCUUAAAACAGUCAAGUAGAGCUGGGCAUCAUGGGCAGGCCUGUAAGCACAUCAAUCUGGUGGCAGAGGCAUCUCUGUGAGUUCAAGGCCAGCCUGGUCUAUAUAUUGAUUUCCAGGACAGCAAGGACUACAUAGAGAGGCCUUGUCUCAGAAACAAACAAACAAAUGAAACAAAAUAAAAAGAAAAAAGUUUAAUCAUGAAGAAUUUAAGACUUAUUUGUAGUCUUCCAGUGAGACAAAUGGCAAGGCCUCCUGGGCAGAAUCUAAGGUCAUGUGACCAACUCAUCUUACUUGUAUUAGGCUUUCCCAGGAAAUCUGAUGGCUCUUUGUCUAUCAUCAAGUCUAGAGCCCCCUGUCCUUACUCUCUCAGGACUGAGGAUGGCCAUGAAAAACAUGGAUAGCAUCCUCAGAGAUGAUUUACCUAAGGGUGGAGCAGAAGAUUCUUCAUCCACAUCUGGGUGAGUGCUAGGCCCGCAUAGACGGAACUACAUCACCAGCCUUUUGGGGAUUGAAAUUUUAUUUAUUUAUUUAUUUUUGAGACAGGGUAUGUAGCUCUGGCUGGCUUGGAACUUUAUAGGUAGACCAAGCUGGCCUCACGUUCACAGAGGUCUGCCUGCCUCUGUCUCCCAAAUUUUGGGAUUGAAGGUAUGCGUCACUACACCCAGUCCAUGGAUGUUAGAGUUCUUAAUGGUCAUCAAGCUCAUUUUCUCUUCAAGACCAUUCUGGGAGUUUCUCUUUUCAAGAAAGAAAAUGAGAUCUAUAGUUGUUUCAUAAACAUAUAUAUGAUAAAUAUAGAUAUAAUAAGAUAAAAGGAUAGAUUAUUGAACCUACUUUUA